rnacentral:ncRNA from 1 species
CGUUAGGGGCGCUUGCGCCCCCAAGGGCCCGUGCCAUUGGCUAAGCCGGUCCGGCCGACGUGCCGCGGCCGGCCGCCUCGAAGCUCCCUUCCCAACGGGCGGUGGGCUGAAUCCUUUGCAGACGACUUAAAUACGCGACGGGGCAUUGUAAGUGGCAGAGUGGCCUUGCUGCCACGAUCCACUGAGAUCCAGCCCCAUGACGCACGGAUUCGU